GAAAAAAUUGGAGCUCUUUUACUGUCUAGUCUUUUUCUGGUGCCUUUGAAUUUUUCUCUUCAAGCCUUGGAAGUUUCCCAGAGGAGCUGCUAGAAGUCUGGGUCUAUUGCAGUUAAUAAUUAAAAGAUAUAUAUAAUAAAUGAUAGGUAAUGAAAUCAUCCAACAAUAGCUGUAUGUCAGAGGAGGGAGCUUCUAGCUUCACAUGUAGCUUUACAAGAUAUUUCUGUCAGUCACAGGGAAUGACUGGAGUUGCAAUAGCAUAAUUUUAAAAUGUUAAUUGGCAAUAUGAAAGAAUAGCGAUUUUUUUAAGGUGAGCUUUAUGGCUCUGCUUUGAAACAAGCACAUUUGCUCCAAGAUCGGAGUUUUGCCUCCUUUAACUCAAGUUUACUUUCUUAGUUUUUUACUGCACCUUGUGUCCUCAAGCUCUCCUGUUGCAGGGUGAAAUACAACCCCUCUAUUUGCUGCAGAGGGUGACAGUGAUUUGUGAAGAAUGAUUGUGGGCUCCUAGCAUCUACCACAUGGGAGAGUAAACAGAGAACAUUGAAAGCAGAUAUGUAUAGACAGACAGACAGUGUGGGUGUGUCCAGCUGUGUGCGUGUAUUUGGGAGACGGUGAAAUUCCUGUAAAUUAAUUACUCUUUGAAAGAUUUCUUUGCAGGUCAACGGCAAACAGAGUUAACCUGCAUUUCAGAAUACUCAUUCCUUUAUGUUUCAGUAAAUCUUCUACUUCUGUUUACUUUCCCUUCACGUUUUCCAGUCUUCUCUCUGAAAUGGCAGGCUUGUUCUUCACAUUAUUUACCCAUCUCUUUUUGUAACCUCUGCUUUCUCUCUUGUUUGAUUUUCUUUUCUUCUUCCUUGCUUUGCCUCCUUUGUCUCCCUAAAUUCUCCCCAAAAUUUGGUUCCUCUUUUUCUCCAUUCUUCAUCAUUUAACUUUUUGACUUUGUAAACCCAGAUAAAAAGCAAUGAAAAUAGUUUUUCCCUGGCUGUCUGGUUCUUUGUCACUAAGAGCAAGUGAACUUGGAAAAACAUUUAGUUAUUUUGCUGGCACAUAUGCAUGUGAAUUCAUGCAAAAUAAGUAUUAAUUAUUAAGAUUUUAGACCUUUAUCCAUGAUAGUGAUCAGCAAGGUACUGCCUGCUAACUGAGCCGAGGCAUAUGCUUUGGUCUUUUUCAAACACAAUGGUAGCAUGGUAAUUUAAAUUUUAUUUGAGAGUGCACAAGGAACACACAGUGGUCUAACCUGAUCUGACCAAGCGUCUCACCCAGAGGUUCCUCCAUCAAAUCUGUAAUUUCUCUUGGAGUUGGACAAUAUAUUUUAGAGAAACAUCCAAUCUUGAUUUAAAGACUUCAAGAGACAGGAAAUCCAUCACUUCCGAGGGUGCAGAGACCAGAAGAUACAUCUAUCCUGUCCUGUGAACCAUGUAGUAUAAGGGAUGUCUUUUUCUAAAUAUAUAUUUUUGAUAAUAGAAGACUGAAAAA